rnacentral:rRNA from 1 species
AUACGGAGGAUCCGAGCGUUAUCCGGAUUUAUUGGGUUUAAAGGGUGCGUAGGCGGUCGGGUAAGCGUAGGGUGAAAGUCCUCUGCUCAACAGAGGAAGUGCCUUCCGAACUGUCCGACUGGAAUGCUCCUGCCGUGGGAGGAAUGUGUGGUGUAGCGGUGAAAUGCAUAGAGAUCACACAGAACACCGAUUGCGAAGGCAUCUCACGAAGGGGCUAUUGACGCUGGGGCACGAAAGCGUGGGGAUCAAACAGGAUUAGAUACCCUGGUAGUCCACGCCGUAAACGAUGAGCACUAAGUGUCGGAUGAAUUUUCGGCGCUGCAGUUAACACAAUAAGUGCUCCGCCUGGGGAGUACGGUCGCAAGACUGAAACUUAAAGGAAUUGACGGGU